rnacentral:rRNA from 1 species
UACGGGAGGCAGCAGUGGGGAAUAUUGCACAAUGGGCGCAAGCCUGAUGCAGCCAUGCCGCGUGUAUGAAAAAGGCCUUCGGGUUGUAAAGUACUUUCAGUCGUGAGGAAGGUGUUAAGGUUAAUAACCUUAGCAAUUGACGUUAGCGACAGAAGAAGCACCGGCUAACUCCGUGCCAGCAGCCGCGGUAAUACGGAGGGUGCGAGCGUUAAUCGGAAUUACUGGGCGUAAAGGGCACGCAGGCGGUUAAUUAAGUUGGAUGUGAAAUCCCCGGGCUUAACCUGGGAAUGGCAUUCAAGACUGGUUAGCUAGAGUCUUGUAGAGGGGGUAGAAUUCCAUGUGUAGCGGUGAAAUGCGUAGAGAUGUGGAGGAAUACCGGUGGCGAAGGCGGCCCCUGGACAAAGACUGACGCUCAUGUGCAAAAGCGUGGGGAGCAAACAGGGAUUAGAUACC